GUUUUUUAAACUAGGAAGAUUUGGUGGUACACAUUCCCUGCUGUUGGUCUCUGUAUGAGCAGAGAUGUUUUCUCUCUAACUUUGGAAGACAUUUUAUGGACUCUGUAGAAGAGGGUCCCACUACUGAUUUAAAUGGAAGGAACAUGACAACCCAAUGAAGAACCAGAACUGAGCACUAGAUUUGUGUUAGAUUGCCAGCCAGAAUCACAGUUUAUGAGUUGAAUACAGUUGUAUAUCAGUCAGGGUAUCCACUAGCUUCCACUACCAUUUCCUGUCUGGUUAGUUCCCAUACUCACGUCUUCCAUACUGAGGAUAUAUUUCAGUAUAUUUCAGUUCUCAGUGUAAUAAGGAGUGGCUGGACUACUAUAAGCGGAAGAAAGAUAUAUUUUACUAGAGAAGACAUCCAUUGUUGGAUUUACAGAAUCAGUCUGGGUGUGGUACACUGGAUUGUUUGGGGACUAUCAUCCAUGCAAUAGCAUUCUGUCUUCCAUGCCAUUAGAACCUGCCUAGCAACAGGUGAUAUCAUCAGGGAGGGGACCUCUGCACCAGCACAGUUAUGGUACUGAAGGAAACAAUUUAUUGUGAUUCUGUCAUAGGUUCAUAAUAAGCGAAUAGGUACAGUGGAUAGUUUUGAGUGUGUACAUUUAUGCUCUGCUACUGAACAAACAAACUUGACUAUUUUCUUCUAUAGCACUGGAUAUGAAGGCCCAAUUGAGAGACAUGGCUGUCUAAGCUCUUUCUGUAAGCAAGACUUCACUAGAGCUGUUUAGCUGUCUUCCUGCUGGUAGUCAGUACACUGUCAAGGAUUCAUAUGAGAACCUGCUAACUGAAGGUGUUGACUUCAACUACUCCAUCUUAUUUCUGUAGGAAACACAGAGGCUUUUGGGAAGGAAGUGGGACACAUGCUAGUGCAUGCAUUCACACAGAGACACAGACAUACACACACAGAGACACAGACACACAGAAACACACACACACAGAAACACACUUACAUACACAAUUUGGCAGGCAGGCUGCAUUUGUGGUGCUCGAGGCAGCUCGCUCAGUGGUUGAUUGGCUGAUUUAUGAUAGCUAUACAUCAUGGCUCUCCUUCCUUCAAUGGAAAUGCUUGCUUCCAGGUGAUGACAGGAGGAUGAGAGAAAAGAGCGAGGCAGAGAGAGAGAGGAGAGAGGGGUAGGCAGACAGAGAGAGAGGGA
ensembl:lncRNA